AUUGAACGCUGGCGGCAGGCCUAACACAUGCAAGUCGAACGAGUGGCGGACGGGUGAGUAAUGUCUGGGCACCUGCCUGACGGAGGGGGAUAACUACUGGAAACGGUAGCUAAUACCGCAUACCACCAGUUGUGCUCAGAUGGGAUUAGCUUGUUGGUGGGGUAACGGCUCACCAAGGCGACGAUCCCUAGCUGGUCUGAGAGGGUGACCAGCCAAACUGGAACUGAGACACGGUCCAGACUCCUACGGGAGGCAGCAGUAGGGAAUAUUGGACAAUGGGCGCAAGCCUGAUGCAGCCAUGCCGCGUGUAUGAAGAAGGCCUUCGGGUUGUAAAGUACUGUCGUCGGGGAGGCGUUACCCGCAGAGGAAGCACCGGCUAACUCCGUGCCAGCAGCCGCGGUAAUUC
rnacentral:rRNA from 1 species